UACGUAGGGGGCGAGCGUUGUCCGGAUUUAUUGGGCGUAAAGGGCGCGUAGGUGGCCCGGUCAGUUCGUGGUGAAAGCGCGGGGCUCAACCCUGCGUCGGCCAUGAAUACUGCCGCGGCUGGAGCACUGUAGAGGCAGGCGGAAUUCCGGGUGUAGCGGUGGAAUGCGUAGAGAUCCGGAAGAACACCGGUGGCGAAGGCGGCCUGCUGGGCAGUUGCUGACACUGAGGCGCGACAGCGUGGGGAGCAAACAGG
rnacentral:rRNA from 1 species